GAGUGAGUGUUUGCCAGGUGCCUUCUUGCCGAGCGUGUUUGCAUUGUGUCGACGAGAUUUACGUAUUCUACGCAGAUUCCGGGGUGGUUUUCUCUUAUUUUGGACAUACAAUGCCGCAGGCCUUGCUCAUACCAGUACCCCCCACAAAUGCCUUGAUGCGUCCUCAGUUGACCCAGAUACUAUAGCGAACAGAUGUGUUUGCCUCUGACUUGUUAUCAGGCCUAUUGUUCGUCGUCGCUGGUUGGAGCCCUCAUCAGACAUCACGAUAUAUGUGCAAGCCACCAAGGACUAAGUUAUGGCUUCGAAGAGAGAGAGAAACCUUUGGGUGAAGAUGCUAUGAACGCACUUCUCUAUGAAUUAGAAAGUGACGUUGAGGACCACCUGGAGGUCCAGUCUGAGGGCGAGGAAGAUGAAUUGGCUGCCAUCUUCGUUGAAGAGGAGGACGUAGACAACCCGAGUUAGGGACAGCAGAGGGAAGACGAGGCUAAUUCUCUUGACCUCUCCUUUGGAGAAUGAGGACGAUGCCAAUGGGGAGGGAGGCAUCGAGCAUUGUGGGACUGUUCCCAUUGUUGUUACAACAACAACAACAACAACAACUACAACCGCCACAACUACACCUAGUCCCUCUACCUCCCUGGCUGAGGACGCGCUCUCCCCGGUAGAGCUUAGGAGUAGGAGGAGGAGGGGCGACCUCCAGCUAGCCCAGGGAGCCCUUAUCUAACGCCUAGAACCCGAAAUUGUUGAGGCUCGUGAUGGGGCCUCCCUCCCACCUUUGUUUACGCUAAGGAUUGAACCUGAGGGUCUCACCGAUGUCACCGCUGGGGAGGCACUUUUUCGCUCUUUUUAUCUGAUCCUAUGCUAGCGGAGACUGUCUUGCGUUCCAGUGAUCGACUUGCCCUUUUGAGGAACAAUUAUCAUCAUAAGGGCAAUGUUGCCCUCAGGGACAUGGAUCUGAGGGAACUGGAGGUGUUCAUUGGGAUCCUGAUAAUAUCAGCUGUAGGAUCAGAUAAUCACACAACGAGAAACGACAUGUGGGAUCUUCCGGAGAGCAAUUCUUUGUGCCAUUGUACAAUGAACGAGAGUCGUUUUGCCCUGCUAACGAGAGUGAUUCGUUUCAACGAUUCUGCCACCAGAGCAGAGAGAGUGAGGACAGAUCGGCGUUCUCCCAUUCGCAAAGUUUUUGAUCAUGUGUUGGCUAAUUGCAGACAAAAUUACUCGCCAGGGCCUCAUCUCACUGUGGACAAGCGGCUUGUGCCAUUUAGUGGUCGCUGUCUCUUCAGGAUGUAUAUUCCCAGCAAGCC